GGAACUGUCCUGGUUUUAGUACUGAAAGUACUAGGGUUUCUUGGGAAAACUCCUCAAUGUCAGGCACACAUGACGGGUCACCCCACAACCCUUCCCCAGGCAGUGAAGGCAGCCAACAUUGGUUGAGAGUCUGAGGUCUCUGCUACCCUCUGAAUACUCACAGCAGCCCUGCAAAGAAACUUGCUUUGCUUCCUCCGCUGAGCAGAGACAAGACUCAAAGAAGACUUGUCCGGGGCCACGUCUGCAUGCCCUCAUGUGACAGUAUCUGCUGUUUGUCUUCUAUGGGCCAGGCAUCACCCUGGGGGCUGGAGAUGCUGUGGUGAGCAAGGCAGUCUUUGCCUUUUUGGGGGGCUGCAUCUGCGGCAUGAGGAAGUUCUCAGUCCAGGGAUCAAACCUGCACCACAGCAGCAACGCAAGCCGCUGCAGUGACAACACAGGAUCCUUAACCCACUGUGCCACAAGGGAACUCUGAGCAAGGCAGUCUUGGUCCCUGCCCCUGUUCUUGCAGUAGACCAGCUUCAGAUGGUUAUUUAAUUACAGCACGGGAUAAAUAACUAGAAGAGCAAGUCGAAGGGUUUAUGAGCUGAUAAGGGGCGAACCUAGUCUGGUCUGGUAAUGAGAAGCCUUCCUUGAGGAAGCGAUCUCAGCCUUAAGGCUUAGAUCUGAAAGAUGGGUGACACUCCUGCCACACUGGGCCAGACAACAGGAAUAUCAGGUGCAAAGGCUCGGAGGUGGGAACAGAACCUCUGUGUUCAAGAAAAGGUGGCAGCACAGAGAGGGAGAGGGAGAGCGAGGUAGAUGAGGCUGGAGGGUCAGUAGGGCCCAGGUCAUGGGUCACAGCGAGGAAUCUGAAUUUCAUCCUUACAGCAGAUGCCACUGGGCCCCCUCAGACACCCUGAAGGAGCAGGGUCCUUAUUCCCCCAGCUGCCAGGAGUAUUGGCAGCUGAUGGCUCAUAGCUGGGCAUAGCCCUCUGUCAAAGGGAGGUUCCUUCUUCUGGGAGAAACCCAUAGUCAAUGGCUUGUUGACAGGUGCAAGGACCGAGCUUUCUUGCUUUAGUUUUGGACAACUCUGAAGGGCCAUGGCGCUCCAAAGAUCCCCAUGGGAUCCACUGACGCCUUGGUUGCAACUGUUUAACCUUUUCCUCUUAUCGAAGCCUGCUUCCUAUCUUACAGAUGUUUGUCCCAAGAGCCCCGCCCCUCCAUCCCCCACCAAAUGCUAUCUCAGUCUCAGAAUAUAUUUCCUAGAGACCCAAGACAGUCCUCUCUCAAGGUACUGGGAAGCCAUCUCAGGGUUUUAAGUGGGGCAACCUGCUCAGAACUGCAUCUUAAAAAGGAGGUGACUUUUUAAGGGUGCAGCAAAGGGUGGACUGAAGUGGGUAUCAGGGAGGCAGAGACCAGGGAAGAUGCUGUUGUACUUAACUAGGGAGAAUCGGUCAAUCAGCCUGGACUAGGGGGGCGGGGUGGAGAGAAAGGGAAGCUGAGGGGCUUAAAGAGAUAUGUAGAUGUCUGUUCCCAAAGUCCAAGCAUUUUCCAUUAUUCUUUGCUGGCCCCAAAGGUGUCUCAGGCUUGACUGCUCUCUCUGGGACACAGGGUCCAUGGUUUUUAUCAAGGUGGGUUAGAACUAGGCUAGGAUUGGGUCCCCUAUACUCAGGAGCAUCUGUGUGAGUGUCCAUGGUGUGGGCAUGUGUGUUCAUCGCCCUGUGCAUUUGUGGUUUACCUGGGCUGAUUUGGGGACAAGAGCCAUGACCCCUGGAUUCUCUGAUGCUCACUCCCCUACCUGCUACGCUCCAUCUUAAACCUUGUCUGAAAUCUGUUGAUGAUGCUUCCAUGGUCCCGAUCAAAGAUCUUGGGCCAACACCUAAGACUAUAUCAGAACUUGGAGAAGGACCGGGGAUGGCUGCUGGACUAAAUAAACAGGAUAGAGACAAGAGAGUGGCCAUAGGUGGUAAGAAGUGAUAAGAGUUUGGAGGGAGGAAGGUGGUCUGGGUAGGAUUCUGAAGGAGGUGGCUUUGAAAGUGGGCUUCGGUGGAUUUGGGGAGACAAAACUGAGACGGCGAGCUGGGACCAGGUCCAUGAAGAUAUUGGACUGUCAGGGAAGGACUUCCACGGGCAGUGGGGACCCUGGAGCGGAGCCAGUCCAGAUUCCUUUCUCUUCAGCUCUGUUCAGUCCCCUGGGGACACUGACAUUGGACCUUAGUUUCCUAGCAACGGUCAUUGGCCAGAGGAAGGAUGUUCUCAGUGUCCAUUCUGUAUUUGGAGGCAGAAUCCCCUGAUCUGACCCACAGGUCUCUCCUCUGUCUGAAAGUGGACUCCGGGUUUCCCACACUCCCUGUGAGUUUCUGAAGUGGUCAUGCUUUCUUCAGAGCUGAGAUUUGGGUGAGACCUUCCAAACCUUUAACUUGUCAGGGAUGUUCUCAGAUUCCUAGAGGUGCAGAGGCGAAAGCACUGGUCAGGAUGCUUGGGUGAUCAUGAGCAAGUUAUUUAAGUUUUUAGUUUUAAUUUUCCAGCUGGAAAAUUAGAAUGCUAAUACCUGUAUCUCUUAGGAUAUUUUUUUUUUUCUGUCUGCAAAUAAAGAGAAGUCUCACUCCAGAUGACUUAAACUAGCACUUUCCAAUAGAAAUAGAAUGUAGGCGCCAAAUGUAAUUUAAAAUAUCCUAGUAGCCACAUUUAAAAAGGUGAAAUUAUUUUUAAUCACAUCUUUUAUUUAACCCAUUAUCCAAAACAUUAUCAUUGCCACAUACAAUUGAUAUAUAGUUAUUAGUGAGAUAUUUUACAUUUUUUUGGCACUAAAUCUUUUAAUUUUGGUGCUCAGUAAUCACCUACAUCUAGUGGAUACCAUAUUGAACCGCAUGGUUUAAACCACAGGAAUAGUUCUAAUCUCAUGCAAACAAGAAUCCAGAGGCAAGGAAGUCUCAGGAUUGGUCAAUUUGGAAGCUCAAGAGUAUAAGCAAUAACACAGGUUCCUGCCACCUUUUUGUUCUGCCAUCCACAAAGUUUUGUUCAGUUUUGUUCUUCGCUAGCUCUCCUCAUGGUCCCAAGAUGGCUGCCGCAGCACCAAGAAUCAUGUCCAUAUGCAACAACAUCCAGCAGAAAGAGAGGGUAGGUUUCUUUGCAUGUAUUUCUUUAUAAGAACUCUUUCUUGUCUCCCUUACCCCACCCCUCUAGCCGACUUACUUUUGGGUCUCAAUUCCAGAUUUCAUCACAUGCUCAUGUCUAAUCCAGUCAUUGGCAUGGUGGAUAGACUUGAAUGCUUGGCUUAGAGCCAUCAGGGUGUGCCCCUGGACUGGGGGACCUUUCUCUGAGUCAUAUGGGAGGAAUGCUGGACCCUGGGACAAAAUUGAGGCUCUAUUAGCAAUGAGGACAAUUGCAACAACCAAGGGUAGCUGAACAGCACCUGCUCCCCUGGUAAAAGGAUGUGAGCCUUAAGGUUGUUUCCCAAAGUGGGUUCCACGGAACACUAAUGCAGACAGAUGUUCUGCAGGAAGGGUCUUCUUAUUAAAUAGCGUCUCCUCACAGAGAUUCACAGUCCUUAGGAGCAUUUUAGGAGUUCUGACAAAGUCCCACGGUUAGGAAAACUUUCACUGAAUUUAAUCUCACACUGUCUUGACUUCGGAAUUGUUUUUCUUUCUUCCAUGAUAAGUUCACACCAUUUUGAGAAACACAUUUUUGGAGAUCCUGCCUUAGUGGAUUAUUAGGUUGUAGAGCAGAGGACAUCUUUAUGCUGCCACUUUAGCACCUUGUGGUGGGAACUGAAUGACCAGCACCAGUCAUGCUGGGGAAAUUCCUCCAGGCCAGAUGGAGGAAAGAGCCCCCAGGGGCUCAGGCCACAAGCAUCCCUUUCCUGAGAAAUAAUAAAAAGUUCAGGGAGUUCCCGUUGUGGCACAAUGGAAAUGAAUCCGACUAGUAUCCAUGAGGAUUCGGGUUUGAUCCCUGGCCUCUCUCAGUGGGUUAAGGAGCUGGCAUUGCUGUGAGCUGUGGUGUAGGUCUCAGACACGGUUGUGGCUGUGGUGUAAGGCGGCAGCUUCGGCUCUGAUUUGACCCCUAGCCUGGGGACUUCCAUAUGCCACAGGUGUGACCUUAAAAAAAAAAAAAAGUCGAAAAAUAAAAAAUAAAUAAAAUGUUAGUGAGAACAAAGAAAGAUUUUUUAAAUGCGUCACAUACCUUAUAAUUUAUUUUAAUUUAUAGCAUAUAGAGAAUGUAUAAAUAUUCAAUCUUUUUCAUUCACUAAUCUGUUGAUGGCAAUGGGGUUUCUGCUUUGCAUUCCCAAAACAUAUCAUCUACAAUUUCCAGUUUCUGUUAGUUUCUUUAAAAUAGAGCAAGAACCUAAAGACACUCGCAAAGCAGACUGAGUGUGGAAAAUGUCUAGAUUUUAAUAAUUUUGUUCCAAUCUUUUAUAGUUAUCCUGUUCACACCAAAUGUGAGGGUGACUUUAAAGGGACUCUCUUUUCUGAACAUCCCAAAGCAUCCAGCUUGUUUUCAGAGAAGUAAAACUUUCUUUUUCUGUAUGCUCAUCGUCCAUGGGUUUAGAGAACAAAUAUUAAUAAAUCAUGACAUUUCAAUAAUGAGUGCCAUGGAAGUAAACAGGUUUGGGAACAGUCUUAAAUAAACACACGUGGGAACAGAGGCAUGGAUUUGCUAGAGCGUAGGCUACCGGCCGGGCACCUCAGGGUGCCAAGGGCAUCAGUCAGCAGGUUUUAGAACAGUGGAUAGAGCAUGCUGGUUAACUGGAGGUCAACAGAGAGUUUUUACAACUCUCACCCCAGGAUGUGCAUUGGAAUCAUUUAGUGCUUGAGAGUUCCCGUCAUGGCUCAGUGUAACAAACCUGACUAGUAUCUGUGAGGACAAGGGUUCAAUCCCUGGCCUCGCUCAGUGGGUUAAGGAUCCACUGUUGCUGUGGCUGUGGUGUAGGCCAGCAGCUGCAGCUCCGAUUCAACACUUAGCCUGGGAGUUCCCGUCGUGGAGCAGUGGUUAAUGAAUCCAGCUGGGAACCAUGGGUUUUGGGUUCCAUCCCUGGCCUUGCUCAGUGGGUUAAGGAUAUGGCGUUGCCGUGAGCUUCGGUGUAGGUCGCAGGUGAGGCUUGGAUCUUGUGUUGCUAUGGCUGUGGUGUAGGCCGGCAGCAACAGCUCCGAUUUGACCCCUAGCCUAGGAACCUCCAUGUGCCGUGGGAGCAGCCCUAGAAAAGGCUAAAAGACAAAAAACCAACAACAACAACAAAAAAUACUUAGCCUGUGAACUUUCAUAUGCCGCAGGUGCAGCCCUAAAAAGACCAAAAAAAAAAAAAAUCAUUUAGAGCUUUAAAAAAUUCCAGUAUCCACAUCAAUUAAGUCGGGAGUGGAUCUUAUACUAUAGAUACGGCUUCCAGAAACUACUCCGUCCUGUGUGUCUUAGGGCAUACAGAAGCAAGUCUUACUGAUGAACAGACAGACCCCCGCAUGUUCUUUCUCCCAAGGACAGCAAUUCCGAGGCCUCCCUGACUAAGAGGUGUCCCCAAACCAGCGAAAGCUGGACAUCCCAGGACACAAGCCUGCUUUCUCACAAGCACACAGACCUAGGCAGAAAACCCCAGCUGCUCCCAUUCUCUCCCUCUGUCCUCUCUGGCUCCUCUUCAUCUUCCCAGUUAAUCCUUUCUGGGCCAGCUCUUCUGAGCAAAGACUCUGACCUGCCAAAACACAAGCCUACUGAGCACUCGCUAUGUGCUAGCUGCCUCCCAUAGAGUUCACUUAAUCUUUGGUCAACCAACCCUCCCCUGCCACCCAAGCCUUGGAUUGUCAUCUCUCUGGACACACUGCUGGAGCUGUCUAUCUCUGUGAUGACUGAUUAAAUCCAGUCUAUCUCUGGCUCUAGACUCCAAGCCCCUUGUGGGCAGGGAUACAUCUAUUUCUUCACACGGCAUGCCCAGCACUGGCCUUGGUAGGAAAGGCUUAAGGUGAACAAACAAUCGUAAUUAUGUAGCUGCCAGUGAAUGCAGGGUCCAUGGCAAAUGCUUGCUGAUGCAAAGAACAAAUGAAAAACCAUACAAAGUCCGUGGCACUGCCUCCAUUUCAUAGGACAACUGAGACUAACCGCACUUCAAUAACUUAUGCAUGUUUUAGAACAAUCUCGUGUCAGGGUUAAGGUUAAACCCAGGUUACUUUAGGAAUUUCCCGUUGUGGCUCAAUGGCAACGAGCCCGAUGGGUAUUCAUGAAGAUGUGAGUUCAAUCCCUGGCCUCACUCAGCGGGUUAAGGAUCCAGUGUUGCCGUGAGCUGUGGUGCAGGUUGCAGACAUGGCUUAGAUCCGGCGUUGCUGUGGCUGUGGUGUAGGUCAGCAGCUGUAGCUCUGAUUCGACCCCUAGCCAGGGAACUUCCAUAUGCCACAGGUUCGGCCCUAAAAA
rnacentral:lncRNA from 1 species